rnacentral:rRNA from 1 species
GUAAGGAAUAUUGGACAAUGGACGCAAGUCUGAUCCAGCCAUGCCGCGUGAAGGAUUAAGGUCCUCUGGAUUGUAAACUUCUUUUAUAAGGGACGAAAAAAGGCUUUUCUAAGUCGUCUGACGGUACCUUAUGAAUAAGCACCGUCUAACUCCGUGCCAGCAGCCGCGGUAAUACGGAGGGUGCAAGCGUUAUCCGGAUUCACUGGGUUUAAAGGGUGCGUAGGCGGGCAGGUAAGUCAGUGGUGAAAUCCUAGAGCUUAGAUCUAGAACUGCCAUUGAUACUAUCUGUCUUGAAUAUUGUGGAGGUAAGCGGAAUAUGUCAUGUAGCGGUGAAAUGCUUAGAUAUGACAUAGAACACCUAUUGCGAAGGCAGCUUACUACGCAUAUAUUGACGCUGAGGCACGAAAGCGUGGGGAUCAAACAGGAUUAGAUACCCCUGUAGUCC